UACGAAGGGGGCUAGCGUUGCUCGGAAUUAUUGGGCGUAAAGAGCUCGUAGGCGGUCUGUCACGUCUGCCGUGAAAACCCGAGGCUUAACCUGGGAACUGCAUCUGAUACUGGAUGGCUUGAAUCCGGGAGAGGGAUGCAGAAUUCCAGGUGUAGCGGUGAAAUGCGUAGAUAUCUGGAGGAAUACCGGUGGCGAAGGCGGCAUCCUGGACCGGCAUUGACGCUGAGGAGCGAAAGCUAGGGGAGCAAACGGGAUUAAGAAACC
rnacentral:rRNA from 1 species